rnacentral:rRNA from 1 species
ACGGAAGGCAGCAGUGGGGAAUAUUGCACAAUGGGGGAAACCCUGAUGCAGCGACGCCGCGUGAGUGAAGAAGUAUUUCGGUAUGUAAAGCUCUAUCAGCAGGAAAGAAAAUGACGGUACCUGACUAAGAAGCCCCGGCUAACUACGUGCCAGCAGCCGCGGUAAUACGUAGGGGGCAAGCGUUAUCCGGAUUUACUGGGUGUAAAGGGAGCGUAGACGGCUUUGCAAGUCUGAAGUGAAAGCCCGGGGCUCAACCCCGGAACUGCUUUGGAAACUGUAGAGCUAGAGUGCAGGAGAGGUAAGUGGAAUUCCUAGUGUAGCGGUGAAAUGCGUAGAUAUUAGGAGGAACACCAGUGGCGAAGGCGGCUUACUGGACUGUAACUGACGUUGAGGCUCGAAGGCGUGGGGAGCAAACAGUAUUAGAUACCCUGGUA